rnacentral:lncRNA from 1 species
CGCCUAGAAUAGCUGCCAAACAUUCUUUUUCUGUGACAGAGUAGUUUCUCUGGCAUUGGUUAAGCUUGCGAGACAUAAAUGAUAUGGGUACUUCAUCGCCAUCCUGGUUAACCUGGACCAACACGGCACCCACACCAGUAUGGCUUGCAUCACAAUGAAUCGCAAAAGGUUUUUCGAAAUUUGGGCUAUGAAGGACUGGUGCUGAACUGAGCUUCAACUUCAACGAUUCAAACGCUUUCUGCGCAUCUUCAUUCCAACAAAAUUUGCGAUGCGAUUUUAAUGUAUCGGUUAUGGGUGACGCAAUGGAUGCAUAAUUGCAAAUAAAUUUGUG